rnacentral:misc_RNA from 1 species
UACGGAGGGGGCUAGCGUUGUUCGGAAUUACUGGGCGUAAAGCGCACGUAGGCGGACUGGAAAGUUGGAGGUGAAGUCCCGGGGCUCAACCUCGGAACUGCAUUCGAAACUAUCAGUCUGGAGUUCGAGAGAGGCGAGUGGAAUUACGGGUGUAGAGGUGAAAUUCGUAGAUAUUCGGAGGAAUACCAGUGGCGAAGGCGGCUCACUGGCUCGAUACUGACGCUGAGGUGCGAAAGCGUGGGGAGCAAACAGG